UUGACGGGGGCCCGCACAAGCGGUGGAGCAUGUGGUUUAAUUCGACGCAACGCGAAGAACCUUACCAGGGCUUGACAUCCCCUGACCGCGUAUGAAAGUACGUUUUCACCCUCGGGUGACAGGGAGACAGGUGGUGCAUGGUUGUCGUCAGCUCGUGUCGUGAGAUGUUGGGUUAAGUCCCGCAACGAGCGCAACCCCUACGUUUAGUUGCUAACGCGUGAAGGCGAGCACUCUAGACGAACUGCCGUUGACAAACGGAGGAAGUGGGAUGACGUCAAAUCAUCAUGCCCCUUAUGUUCUGGGCUACACACGUGCUACAAUGGCCGGUACAGACGGACGCAAAGCCGCGAGGUGGAGCAAAUCCUAAAAAGCCGGUCUCAGUUCGGAUUGCAGGCUGCAAUUCGCCUGCAUGAAGUCGGAAUCGCUAGUAAUCGCAGGUCAGCAUACUGCGGUGAAUACGUUCCCGGGCCUU
rnacentral:rRNA from 1 species